AACAGUUUAAGCCAAUAAUCCUACCUAGCUAUUUCUCUAUCCCCAAACCUUCAUCAUGAUCAUGAAAUACUUAAGCCUAGUUUACACUCAUCUAAAAUGGGUAUUAGAUUUCCUUAUAUAUUAUCCCUUCUAUAAUAAGCUCCAUCGUUCUCAUUUUCCAAUAAUUGGAGAAAUGUACAAUACAUGCAUUAAUUAUAAACACAAAUCUUGCUCAGAUGAAGAUGUAGAAUGUGUUGUGUGUCUCUCCAAAAUAGAAGAAGGAGAUGAAAUUAGAGUAUUAAGGUGUGAUCAUAUGUAUCAUAAAAAUUGUUUGGAUAAAUGGGUUGGAUUCAAAAACCACACUUGCCCUCUUUGCAGAGAAUCGUUGAGACCAAAGAGAGCCAUCACUGAGCUUGGAGCUGAAGUUCUUGAAUUUAAUUUUUUUGCCAUUCGUAAGGAUCGUGAUCAUGAUGAUUGGUGGUUACGUUGAGCAUAGUAUAAUAUAGCUUUCAUCAAGCUUAUGUAUAGAAUUAACAGAUUUAUACAAUGUAUCAUUAUUAUAUAUAUAUAUUUGUCAUAUCAAAUUAUCAAUCAAUUAUGAAAUCAAAAUUUUCAUAUCAAUUUAUGUAAUCAACUUUUAUGAGCAAUUGUAUUCAAGUGGUAAAUGAGCUCUACAAAAUGAUAAAUUGUUUUAUUUAAAAAAAAAAUGACAAACUUUUUAUAAAAUUAUGAGUUCGAUGAAAUAUUUCUUGACUAGACUUUACUUAUACCUCCCGAACGAAUUCCAGAUUUCUAUGUCACUUCCUUUGGGAAUCGAAGGAAAAAAAACUUUAAUCAUUGAAUGCAGUUUGACCCCUAAAAUAAGAAUGUUUUACACUUCCACGUCAACUAGCGAUAUUAUGGUUGGUUUGUCGAAAUUACUAUGUUUGGAUUUGUUGAAAUCACAAGGACACCAUGAUUUCAGUGAAGUUGCAAUCUAUAGUUUUUUUUUAUAUAAAAAAAUCACAUUGAAUCACUGUGAUUUUAUCAAACUCGUCGUAAAUUUAAACACACGUUUAAUGAGUUAAGCAUCACAUCUUAAUGUUAUAUUAAUUCUGACACUUUUCCUCCCACUAUUAUUCUAUCAUUAAUUUUUAACUAAAAAUUUGAAAAAGUUAACAAAUCCACAUAAAAAUACAUGUUUCGAUUCUUAUGGAACAAACUUUCAAAAAAAUAUGCAUCUUAUUAAUAUAGGUAGCAUCAAUCAAUUCGUGUAUGUCUUUAUUCAAUUGUAUAGUUUCGUACUUGGACCGCAUCAGGAUUCAUCUCAUUCCCUUAUAAAUGUGAUUCAUACAUGUGCUCUUUUCUUAGAAGCAUGUCAAGAGUCGCAUAUUGAACAUGCUUAGUGCAUUAGCGGUCGCUCCCCGUUCUCAUCAGUCUUAGAUGUCACAUGCCCUCGUUAGGAUCGGUUAUGUAGGUUUCCACGCACAAUGAAACUACCACUACCCUACUAGCAAAUUCCAGGCAUAAAAUGGUCCCAGUAAAUAUGAUAUCUAAAUUUCAUAAAUGAAAACAAUGAUUUUAAGAAAAAAGUCAUGUUGAUUUUUUUUUUAUUUUAGUUUUUAAAAAUAACAAUUAUUUUUUGUGUUAAUCUUCCAAUUUUUAGAGGAUAUGGGUCAUGGUAACAUAGAGCUCGUCCAAGAGAUAAGUAAAUUUUUACCAAAAAUUAUUCUUUAUGUAUUGAACUGAAAUUAUUUUCAACAAUUCGUUUUGGUGGAAAUCAUUAACCAUUUGAAUGGUUGAUCCCAAUUUGCUUAAUUGAAAAGAAUAUUGAUCUAACUUACAAUUUACUUAUUUAAAUUUUAAAAUAAAAGAAUGUGUUACACGAUCGUUUAGAUUUUCAUGUACGAAAACAAAAAAAUCAAUCAUGUGACUUCACUAUCCUUCAAAAAAAGUAAUCAUGUGACUUUACGAAAACAAAGAAAGCUUCUAGUUAUAAUACCUUGAGAGAAUGAUAAUAUACUCCAAUCCAAGAGGGCAGAUUGGCAAACACAGAUUUAUGGGGUAUAUAUAUGCCCUAGUAAAAUUGGAUAAUAACAUCAUGUAAAUAUAUUUUAUUUUCUCUUAACCAUUGUUAAAAGCAUCUAAUUUUAGUGUCAAACUAUCCUUACAAAUACCCACCUCCGUCGAGUCUAUGCAAACUAGAAUGGUGGAGAUGCUUCUUGUAGAUUGCAUAACUUGUGCAACCUUCUUUAUCGAUGUUUCACUCAGUUAAUCGGUAAAAUAACAUUACGUUCUGAUAAUGUGUGUAAUUGUAAAUCUAACUCGAUGUCUUGCAACUAGCAUCUGCAAAUAUUUCUAUUCCAUGUCUUUUAAAUACAAAAUUUAUCUCUAGCACAUUUUUAAUUAAAUGAUCAAUUUAUGAGUUUAACGUCGAAAAAGUAUUAGGUGCGGAAUAGAAUCAUCGAUGUAACAUAACAAAAAGUUAUAUAUAAUCAAACAAAUCAAGUAUUUACAUCAAAAUCGUAACAAAUUACAUCGAAUCUCCCAGCACAAUGGGAGUUUAGUUACACAUUAUCAUGAUAGCUUACAUGAAAAGAUAUAAAUGAGAUGAUGUUGUAUCAAAUGCUUGAAGCUUAAAGAUCCAAUGCUCCACCUUUGAUAAACCCUUGUUUUCUAAAGUCUCCAGGCAUUUCUUUCGUUCAAAAUAGUGACAGAUUUCCAAAAUGGAAAUGAAUUUUUCUUUAUAUGGUUAAGUGAUAAUUCGUUAAGCGGAUUAUAUGCUCACUGAACGAAUUGUAAUUUCUUUGAAAUCUUUUUCAGCUCGUCAAAGUGUGUCACUUGUUGUAAAAUUAGGCAUAAGAAUAUCCCUACAAAUAAUAAUCAACAUAUAAAUAUAAGAAUCAAUUUAUGUUAAUGAGAAUAAUCAAGAGAGGUUUCAAGGUAACUUAUAUGUCUUGAUUUUGUUGGUAGAAUUAGAUCACCGUCUUGGGACAACUUGAAUCAACCUCAUUGUAGAAUCAGCCGUAAAAAUGAACAAACAAUGAAAGGGUACUCCAAUUGUCAUCCCUAUCUCAUACCAAGUUUUUAUAUAGUUGGAAUAAUUAAUUGAUAAAAAACAUCAUUUCUAAUAAGUUUUUAUAUUUGUUACCUUAUGUAAAAGUAUAUUUACAUCAUUUAACAUAGCAAUCAAUAUGAAAAAAAUUUGAUUUAAUCGCAAAAUUAGCAUCAUUGUUUUACAUCAAUUGUGUAAUGAACUAGUGUAAAAGAUCCACAAUAAAAUCUUAUUUCUGCACUAGUGAAUUCUCAUAAGUUUCUUUUCUUAUAUUUUUUUUUUUUCUUUAAUAACUCACGAUAUUUACUCAAGCAAAUCAAACUACCAUUAUUCAUAUCUUGUCUGACUCAAGAAACACUGGUGACUGUGAAUGGUACUGCUAUGCUUUUAUUAUACAAGACAAAUAUUGUAUUUAAACACUCAACAUAAGAAACGUGACAAAUAGAGUACAGUUUUAUAUUUCAUGAUUUCUCAAAAAGAAACGUGGUAGGUGUUUGCCGACAAUUAUUUUUCUUUUUAUACUAUGUUGUUAGUCUUGCACAUGAAAAUUACGUCGGUUUUUAAGGAAAUAUCACAUGGUUUGUCAUAACUCUAAGUGCUAUUAUUGUAGUUCAAUGAGAUAUCAAAGCAAAGGUGGUAACACAGUUUGGAAUUAAAAGCAUGUCUAGAAACCCAAGUCAAACACAAUAAUUACUCAUAUGAUAAUAUUUGAAACUUUUGAAAUAUACUCAAAAUUUACAACACCACGAACCCGCCAUACUUUUCUACGUGAUUUAUAAUCUACUGCAGCGAAUGGUGACAUGUUGGUAGACUUCACUUUCCGACUCAAUUCGCUAAGCUAGCACAUCUCCUCGCUUAGCAAAAUCACUCAACUCAACUUCUUUGCCUUUUUAGCUUGCUCUUCAUUCAUGGUCCUUCAAUACUACAAAAUUGCAUUGGGAAAAAGAUCAUUUCGUAACACAUGAAAUAUUACACGGGAUCUAGUUAUGUAAUACUUACAUUAAUUGCAUUGAGUGAUUAUCGUUAGGUUUCUUGUCAAAUAAGCUAAUUAAUGAGUACGUCUUAAAUUAUUAUAUAAGUGAAAAUAAGUAAUUUUGACAUUUAUCAACAUCCAAAUUUAUGUUGGUUGUGUGUUCAGCAUAUACUACCUUUUUUUCCAAUCUUCAUAUAGUGAUUUAGGGGCUCUUGCCACCCCAAAGACCAGAUUUUUAUAACACACAUCACAUGAAAUAUUUACAUAAGCUUUUCAUUUGCUGCCACGUUUCAUAAUGUUAUUGUUGCUCUCUCUUUUAUAUUUUGCCAAAACGUUAAAUUGGCUCUAUCAAAGAUCACAUGCUUUGUCGCAAGUCAAAAACUCUCUAACUAGCAUUUUAUGAAUUAGUUACUUUAAAAUUCAUUUCGGAUUCUCAUAAAUAAAUAUUAGACUAAAGUCUAAAACAUACAAACUAAUUUAAAAAUGUCAAAAGCUUUAUAAGAAUAUCACACAAGAAAUAUAAAAUUAAGCAUGUACUUUCAUUUUCAUUCAAUUUAAGCUGUCACUGCUUGACCCUACUAUAUAUGACUUAUUUAUCUUUUAAUCUAAAUAUUUUCAGUCCACCCUUGACCUUGAGUUGAGUUUAUAAAUAUCACCAAAUGUUUCCACUUAGCUUUAAGCCAAUAAUCCUACCUAGCUAUUUCUCUACCUCGAAACCUUUAGCAUGAUCAUGAAAUACUUAAGUCUAGUAUACACUCAUCUAAAAUGGUUAUUAGAUUUCCUUAUAUAUUAUCCCUUCUAUAAUAAGCUCCAUCAUUCUCAUUUUCCAAUAAUUGGAGAAAUGUACAAUACAUGCAUUAAUUAUAAACACACAUCUUGCUCAGAUGAAGAUGUAGAAUGUGUUGUAUGUCUCUCCAAAAUAGAAGAAGGAGAUGAAAUUAGAGUAUUAAGGUGUGAUCAUAUGUAUCAUAAAAAUUGUUUGGAUAAAUGGGUUGGAUUCAAAAACCACACUUGCCCUCUUUGCAGAGAAUCAUUGAGACCAAAGAGAGCUAUCACUGAGCUUGGAGCUGAAGUUCUUGAAUUUAAUUUUUUCGCCAUUCGUAAGGAUCGCGAUCGUGAUGAUUGGUGGCUACGCUGAGUAGUAGUGCAAUAUGGUUUUCAUCAUGCUUUUGUAUGCAAAUUAGCAACUUUAUACAAUAUAUUUGUUUUUUUAAUGGAUGAUAUAGAUUUGUUAUUGG
rnacentral:lncRNA from 1 species